AACUCCUUUUGGUUGUUUUGCUUACACCGCUCUCAAGUACCAAUUUCAUUUCAUACGAAUUGAUAUUCGGUCAAGUAUGUGCAUUCCCGCAAGAUUUAACCAAAGAACCUAAUAUUGUGUAUGAUUAUGUUAUGAAUUUGAAACAUACUCUUUGACAGACCCAAAGAGUGCUUAGAAAAAAAAAUCACAAAAAAUUAAAGAAGUUUCAAAAGUUUAUUUUAAUGGAAAUAUGAACCCAAUAAAUCUAACCAUAGGUGACAAUGUAUUUUUGGAAAAUAUAACCACUGGUGCGGGUCAAAAACUAAAACCACUUAGAAAGGAACCAUAUGAAGUUAAGUAAUCAUGCUUAGAUUCAUACGGUGUAACUACCAGUAAUCAUGGGGCUGGAAUACGAAAUGACGCCUUCGGAUGAGUCCGGAUUUGUCACAUGGCGGAAGACUUAAUCUUUAAAAAAUCAUGCAUGGAAGAAGAACUAAAUUUUUCUAACCGGAGGCCUCAAAUUGUAUAUAACUGCACGGAAAUCAUCGUGAAUAUGUUUUUACAAAGUUGGAAACAAGUAACAAUGUAAACCGGUUCGAUCGAAUAGCAAUAGCAGCAGCAUGAUGGAGAAUGUUUCAGAGAAAGACAGAAUUCCGUUUAAUCCAACACGUCAUCAGAUUAUUCUACU